ACUCCUACGGGAGGCAGCAGUGGGGAAUAUUGGGCAAUGGGAGGAAUCCUGACCCAGCGACGCCGCGUGAACGAAGACGGCCUUCGGGUUGUAAAGUUCUUUUAUGUGGGAAGAAUAAAGUGACGGUACCACAUGAAUAAGCCCCGGCUAACUACGUGCCAGCAGCCGCGGUAAUACGUAGGGGGCGAGCGUUGUCCGGAAUUACUGGGCGUAAAGGGCACGCAGGCUGUGCUUCAAGUCAGCUGUAAAAGGAUGCGGCUUAACCGUGUUAUGCGGCUGAGACUGAGGUGCUGGAGUACCGGAGAGGCAAGUGGAAUUCCCAGUGUAGCGGUGAAAUGCGUAGAUAUUGGGAAGAACAUCGGUGGCGAAGGCGACUUGCUGGACGGUAACUGACGCUGAGGUGCGAAAGCCAGGGUAGCGAACGGGAUUAGAUACCCUUGUAGUCC
rnacentral:rRNA from 1 species